AUGCUCUCACUGCAUCAGGCUCUAUCUUCUCUGCUGCUUCUCUCCACUCUAACAGGUGUCAGCUGUGAUGAACUGACUCCAGACCAGCCUGCAGAGUUCAGUGUAGAAGGCAGCUCUGUUACUCUGUCCUACAACUUCAACAGGACAAUAACUGGUACGGAUUAUUUCUUCUGGUAUCGACAGAAUCCAGGACAAGCACCAGAGUUCCUCCUCUCACAACAUGCUUCAGGACAAGAAGCUGCUCCAACCUCUGGACUGAGGAUUAAAGUGGAGCAGAACCAAAUCCACAUGAUCAUCUCAUCUGCUGCAGUGACAGACUCUGCUGUGUACUACUGUGCUGAGAGGCCCACAGUGACAGGAAGUGUGAUGGAGACGACCGAGUGA